rnacentral:rRNA from 1 species
AAGGUUAACCGUAUAGGGGAGCCGGAGGGAAACCGAGUCUUAACCGGGCGUUAAGUUGCAGGGUAUAGACCCGAAACCCGGUGAUCUAGCCAUGGGCAGGUUGAAGGUUGGGUAACACUAACUGGAGGACCGAACCGACUAAUGUUGAAAAAUUAGCGGAUGACCUGUGGCUGGGGGUGAAAGGCCAAUCAAACCGGGAGAUAGCUGGUUCUCCCCGAAAGCUAUUUAGGUAGCGCCUCGUGAAUUCAUCUCCGGGGGUAGAGCACUGUUUCGGCUAGGGGGCCAUCCCGGCUUACCAACCCGAUGCAAACUGCGAAUACCGGAGAAUGUUAUCACGGGAGACACACGGCGGGUGCUAACGUCCGUCGUGAAGAGGGAAACAACCCAGACCGCCAGCUAAGGUCCCAAAGUCAUGGUUAAGUGGGAAACGAUGUGGGAAGGCCCAGACAGCCAGGAUGUUGGCUUAGAAGCAGCCAUCAUUUAAAGAAAGCGUAAUAGCUCACUGGUCGAGUCGGCCUGCGCGGAAGAUGUAACGGGGCUAAACCAUGCACCGAAGCUGCGGCAGCGACGCUGAUGCGUUGUUGGGUAGGGGAGCGUUCUGUAAGCCUGUGAAGGUGGCCUGUGAGGGUUGCUGGAGGUAUCAGAAGUGCGAAUGCUG